rnacentral:rRNA from 1 species
GCGCGUAAAUUGCCCGAAUCCUGACACAGGGAGGUAGUGACAAGAAAUAACAAUACAGGGCUACUUCUAGUCUUGUAAUUGGAAUGAGUACAACUUACAUCUCUUCACGAGGAUCAAUUGGAGGGCAAGUCUGGUGCCAGCAGCCGCGGUAAUUCCAGCUCCAAUAGCGUAUAUUAAAGUUGUUGCAGUUAAAAAGCUCGUAGUCGGAUUUCGGGGCGGGCCGAGCGGUCUGCCGAUGGGUAUGCACUGUUCGGCGCGUCCUUCUUUCCGGAGACUGCGCCUACUCUUAGCUGAGCGGGCGUGGGAGACGGAUCGUUUACUUUGAAAAAAUCAGAGUGUUUCAAGCAGGCAGCUCGCUCUUGCAUGGAUUAGCAUGGAAUAAUGAAAUAGGACUCUGGUGCUAUUUUGUUGGUUUCGAACACCGGAGUAAUGAUUAACAGGGACAGUCAGGGGCACUCGUAUUCC